CCUACGGGUGGCAGCAGUGGGGAAUAUUGCACAAUGGGGGAAACCCUGAUGCAGCGACGCCGCGUGAGUGAAGAAGUAAUUCGUUAUGUAAAGCUCUAUCAUCAGGGAAGAAAAUGACGGUACCUGAGUAAGAAGCCCCGGCUAACUACGUGCCAGCAGCCGCGGUAAUACGUAGGGGGCAAGCGUUAUCCGGAUUUACUGGGUGUAAAGGGAGCGUUGACGGGAGGGCAAGUCUGGGGUGAAUGGGCGGGGCUCAACCCCCGGAGUGCGAUGGAAACUGUACGGCUGGAGUGCAGGUGAGGUAAGUGGAAUGCCUGGUGUAGCGGUGAAAUGCGUAGAUAUUAGGAGGAACACCAGUUGCGAAGGCGGCUUACUGGACUGUAACUGACGUUGAGGCUCGAAAGCGUGGGGAGCAAACAGGAUUAGAUACCCCUGUAGUC
rnacentral:rRNA from 1 species